rnacentral:rRNA from 1 species
GAUGAACGCUGGCGGCGUGCCUAAUACAUGCAAGUCGAGCGAAUGGAUUGAGAGCUUGCUCUUAUGAAGUUAGCGGCGGACGGGUGAGUAACACGUGGGUAACCUGCCCAUAAGACUGGGAUAACUCCGGGAAACCGGGGCUAAUACCGGAUAACAUUUUGAACCGCAUGGUUCGAAAUUGAAAGGCGGCUUCGGCUGUCACUUAUGGAUGGACCCGCGUCGCAUUAGCUAGUUGGGGAGGUAACGGCUCACCAAGGCAACGAUGCGUAGCCGGCCUGAUAGGGUGAUCGGCCACCCUGGGACUGAGACACGGCCCAGACUCCUACGGGAGGCAGCAGUAGGGAAUCUUCCGCAAUGGACGAAAGUCUGACGGAGCAACGCCGCGUGAGUGAUGAAGGCUUUCGGGUCGUAAAACUCUGUUGUUAGGGAAGAACAAGUGCUAGUUGAAUAAGCUGGCACCUUGACGGUACCUAACCAGAAAGCCACGGCUAACUACGUGCCAGCCGCCGCAGUAA